UACGUAGGGUGCAAGCGUUAAUCGGAAUUACUGGGCGUAAAGCGUGCGCAGGCGGUGAUGUAAGACAGGUGUGAAAUCCCCGGGCUUAACCUGGGAACUGCAUUUGUGACUGCACGGCUAGAGUGUGUCAGAGGGGGGUAGAAUUCCACGUGUAGCAGUGAAAUGCGUAGAUAUGUGGAGGAAUACCGAUGGCGAAGGCAGCCCCCUGGGAUGACACUGACGCUCAUGCACGAAAGCGUGGGGAGCAAACAGG
rnacentral:rRNA from 1 species